rnacentral:rRNA from 1 species
GAUGAACGCUGGCGGCGUGCCUAAUACAUGCAAGUCGAGCGAACAGACGAGGAGCUUGCUCCUCUGACGUUAGCGGCGGACGGGUGAGUAACACGUGGAUAACCUACCUAUAAGACUGGGAUAACUUCGGGAAACCGGAGCUAAUACCGGAUAAUAUAUUGAACCGCAUGGUUCAAUAGUGAAAGACGGUUUUGCUGUCACUUAUAGAUGGAUCCGCGCCGCAUUAGCUAGUUGGUAAGGUAACGGCUUACCAAGGCAACGAUGCGUAGCCGACCUGAGAGGGUGAUCGGACACACUGGAACUGAGACACGGUCCAGACUCCUACGGGAGGCAGCAGUAGGGAAUCUUCCGCAAUGGGCGCAAGCCUGACGGAGCAACGCAGCGUGAGUGAUGAAGGUCUUCGGAUCAUAAAACUCUGUUAUUAGGGAAGAACAAAUGUGUAAGUAACUAUGCACGUCUUGACGGUACCUAAUCAGAAAGCCACGGCUAACUACGUG